rnacentral:rRNA from 1 species
GCACAACGCGAAGAACCUUACCAGGCCUUGACAUCCAAUGAACUUUCUAGAGAUAGAUUGGUGCCUUCGGGAACAUUGAGACAGGUGCUGCAUGGCUGUCGUCAGCUCGUGUCGUGAGAUGUUGGGUUAAGUCCCGUAACGAGCGCAACCCUUGUCCUUAGUUACCAGCACGUAAUGGUGGGCACUCUAAGGAGACUGCCGUGACAAACCGGAGGAAGGUGGGGAUGGACGUCAAGUCAUCAUGGCCCUUACGGCCUGGGGCUACACACGUGCUACAAUGGUCGGUACAAAGGGUUGCCAAGCCGCGAGGGUGGAGCUAAUCCCAUAAAACCGAUCGUAGUCCGGAUCGCAGUCUGCAACUCGACUGCGUGAAGUCGGAAUCGCUAGUAAUCGUGAAUCAGAAUGUCACGGUGAAUACGUUCCCGGGUCUUGUACACACCG